UACGAAGGGGGCUAGCGUUGUUCGGAUUUACUGGGCGUAAAGCGCACGUAGGCGGAUUGUUAAGUCGGUGGUGAAAUCCUGGAGCUCAACUCCAGAACUGCCUUCGAUACUGGGAGCUCGAGUCCGGGAGAGGUGAGUGGAACUGCGAGUGUAGAGGUGAAAUUCGUAGAUAUUCGGCAAGAACACCAGUGGCGAAGGCGGCUCACUGGCCCGGUACUGACGCUGAGGUGCGAAAGCGUGGGGAGCAAACAGG
rnacentral:rRNA from 1 species